CCAAUAGCGUAUAUUAAAGUUGCUGCAGUUAAAAAGCUCGUAGUUGAAUUUCGGGACCAUCAUGUCGGUCGUGCCUCGGUACGUACUGGUAUUGUUGGUUUCUCCCUUCUGACGAACCAUGAUGUCAUUUAUUUGGUGUUGUGGGGAAUUAGGACUGUUACUUUGAAAAAAUUAGAGUGUUUAAAGCAGGCUCACGCUUGAAUACAUUAGCAUGGAAUAAUGAAAUAGGACGUUUGAUUCUAUUUUGUUGGUUUCUAGGAUCGACGUAAUGAUUAAUAGGGAUAGUUGGGGGCAUUAGUAUUCAAUUGUAAGAGGUGAAAUUCUUGGAUUUAUUGAAGACUAACUACUGCGAAAGCAUUUGCCAAGGAUGUUUUCAUUAAUCAAGAACGAAAGUUAGGGGAUCGAAGACGAUCAGAUACCGUCGUAGUCUUAACCAUAAACUAUGCCGACUAGGGAUCGGAUGAUGUUAAUUUUUUAAUGACUCAUUCGGCGCCUUACG
rnacentral:rRNA from 1 species